GGACAGAAUUUAUUCCAUAGAAAUUAAGUUAUUUCCUAAGUAAAAUUUCGUCAAUUAAAAGUAAGUUUUUAAUUGUUGAGGAGCAGAGAAGCAGCUAAGCGAUUAAAAGAAUAAGAAAACUAACGAAGAACUCUAUUGCUCUCUUCAUCUCAUCUGCCUCUCCUUCGAACCUUCACUCCUGCCCUCUCCCUCUCCCUCUCCUCUCCCUCAUAUCCCUCUUCCUCCUCAUCCCUCUCCUCUUUCUUUCCCCUCUAUAUCUUCUCUCACUUUAUUCCUAAUUUUGAAAUAAAAGCCCUAAUUUUCAGAGGUGGCAUUAUUUUCCGGCGAUGGCGGCGGUUGAUUUGUCCAUCUUCUCCUCCAUUGGGGUCUUACAUUACAUCUAAUUAAAGGUUAGUCUUCAAUUUGAGUAUUAUCGAUUUUGUUCUCCGAUUUGGAUAUGUUUAUCAUUGAAUUGUGGUUUGUGUGCUGAUUACUAUUAUGAGGCUCAAAAUGUCAGUUUUUUAUAUUGAUGUUCAUGUUUGAAAUUGUUCUACCCAGUUGGGGCAUUGAAUUUGACAUGGAAAAUUGGGCGGAUUCCCAUGAAAUUCUAAAAUGGGUUUUCAAUAUUUGAUUCUCAUCUGAAUAUUCUCAACCGGGGUUAACAAAUUCUGGCUCAUAACAACUUUUUCUCAACUGGGUUUGUCUAGUUUUGUGUAGAAUUGGCUUUUGAUUACAAUAUUGUGUACGAAUUAUGCACAUAAAUGAGGGUACUAUUUGAGCAGUAAAGUGAGUUUGCAAAUAUGUAAUGUCGUUUGUGCUCUGCUGCACCGCCUGCAAAUCUCAAAAAAAAUAAAUUAAAAAUACAAAAGUUAGAUGUACGAAUCUGGGGAGUAACUGAGAGUCGAGUAGUGCAUUGGGCUGAUGCACGAGAUGUGACAACUGCCAUAUGUUACCACCCAAAUGGCAGCAUAGCAUUUAUAUGUUAAACUACUAGUAUCAGUCUGUUAGUUUGCACUUUAGGAUGAUUAAUUGAUGAUAAAAUUAUUGUCUUUUUAUGAAACAGCGGUUUGCAGUUGGUUCCAUUUCUGGAACCUGCAGCUUCUAUAAAGCAUCACGUAUAUUUUUCUACUACAUGUUGCUCUUAUUGCUUAUCAUUGGUUCACAUUUUAUUGGGGGAGUGUGCUUAAUUGGAAGUUGUGGUUCUAUAGGCAGUGAUCUUCUACUUAAUGUUGAAAUACAUAUUUAUUGGGGGAGUGUGCCUAAUUUAAUCUCUUGAAUGUUGUUAACAUUGAGUGGCAUUAUUUCUUGCAGUUUUCACCGGACUCUCAAAAAGUUAUGAUAACAUUAGAGGACUCCAAAAUACGUAUAUAUAUUUGAUGGGAUCAAUAUUGUUCAUAAAUACAGAGGUACUGCAAUGCUUAAUCUGCAAACUUCUGAACAAUUCCUAGUGUUUCUAUUUCAAACAGACCAUCCACUUUAUCUCUUAUUUUCUGGUUUGGAGUCUUAUUCAUGCUUACUCAUUCUUUUUAUAACUAUUUUAUUUACUUUUCUUUCUUUAAAUCAUGUUCUGCUACAAUUUUUCGAAAUGAAGCCUAAAGCUAUAUAUGGAGCUAUCUUUCGAUAGUCAUGGAACUAUAAUAGAUAUUAGCAUCUUACAUGCACCAUGAGCAAUCUUCAUAUCUAAUUUGUUAUUAUCAAACAAGUUGUGUUAUAUUCUUUAUGUACUCAACCUCUUAACAAUUUUGCAUUUGCUUGUAGUGUGUUUGUCUUUGGAGUAUUAACAUUGUUAAUUUAUAUUUGGUAUGCAUUCCUUGUACUCUUUUAUAAUUGGUUUGGGUAUUGAAUGAUGUGAUCUAAAACCAGUAAACUGAUGUCAUCUAAAACCAGUAAAAUGAUGUCAUCUAAAACCAUUAAUAAGCAAUCAAAUUAAAAUAGUGAGGAAAUUAAAUUUUUUACACAUAUUGAUUUUCAUAGACCAACAUUUAUAGAAGGGUCACAAAGUUGUUACCUUUUAGUUCUCGUUAGCUAAAAGUAUUGUAAAGCUGGUUUUGGUCCAAAUCUGAUCUUGAGCAUUAUUGUAGUGCAUUAAGUAAAUGCUACUAGUAAACAAACAAUGUUAGAAAUAAAUAUGCAGAUUUUUACAAUAGAACAGUCAGGACUCCUCAUGCACAAUUUUUAUUGGAUAUGUGUUCUGCACAUUAGACCUGCAAAAUGUGAAAUGUGCAACAAAUCGAGCUUGUUUUAGUAACUGUAAAUUAUAGGACAAUAAUAUCUGUUGUAAUCUUUCUCCUUCAUCUCUAAUAAAAUUGUCUUCUUAUAUGAAAAAAGACAAUGGUAUCUGUUUCUUCAAGAAUUUUAUGAAAAAGUCGCAUUCUUGUGAACAUAUUUCUAGUAAGUGAAAAUAUUUAAUGUUUUGAAGUAACUCAUCUUGGUCUGUAUGAGAAGUUGAGGACUAAGGAAAUGUUCUUGUAGUUCUGUUAUGUGGGUUCUCUUUCUCUCUUUCUUGUGUUUUUAAAUAAAUAUAAAUAUUUAUAAAUGGAGUAUUCUUUCACUUAUUGACUUGUAAAUUCAUGAGCUUCUUUCCUAAAAUCCAUUUUUUCCUAUUUUUGUUAUAUGUGUGGCAUAUUUUUUUUCCUUAUUCUAUUUUAUGUAACAGAGAGCAGGCGAUCUUCCAUUGAUAUUUUCUUGAAGGCAGCGGGAUACCUUGAUUGCGCAGUCCGACAUGUUCUACCACAGUUGCCUCUGGAAUUCAGUUUUACUGAGUUUUUAAAAGUAUAAGAUCUAGGUUAUCAUUUGCAUCCUUUGCAUUUUCUUUAUGCAAUGGACAUGAGUAAGAAAGUUUCAGAAUUAUAUUAUUAUUAUUAUGCUAGAUUACUAACCAUAUUGUUAUAUAUAAUAUAUCCGAUCAUUGUUUAUCAACAUGAUAUUAUAUUAUAUAAUCCAGAUAUAUAUUCUGUUCAUUAAUUUCUAAAUAUGGUUAUACAAG
rnacentral:lncRNA from 1 species